GACGAACGCUGGCGGCGUGCUUAACACAUGCAAGUCGAACGCUGAAGCCCUGGCUUUUGUUGGGUUGGAUGAGUGGCGAACGGGUGAGUAACACGUGAGUAACCUGCCCUCUUCUUUAGGAUAACGCCCGGAAACGGGUGCUAAUACUGGAUAUUCACUGGCCUUCGCAUGGGGGUUGGUGGAAAGGUUUGUUCUGGUGGGGGAUGGGCUCGCGGCCUAUCAGCUUGUUGGUGGGGUGAUGGCCUACCAAGGCUUUGACGGGUAGCCGGCCUGAGAGGGUGACCGGUCACAUUGGGACUGGGAUACGGCCCAGACUCCUACGGGAGGCAGCAGUGGGGAAUAUUGCACAAUGGGCGAAAGCCUGAUGCAGCGACGCCGCGUGAGGGAUGGAGGCCUUCGGGUUGUAAACCUCUUUCGCUCAUGGUCAAGCCGCAACUGUGGGUUGUGGUGAGGGUAGUGGGUAAAGAAGCGCCGGCUAACUACGUG
rnacentral:rRNA from 1 species